GUUUAAAAAUUAUUACAAUAAAAGAUACAUUGCUAUUAAUCCCCUUCAAAAUACUGCUCCUUAAAGUGGCAAGAAUAAUGAGAUAAGUGUGUUUGAAGUGAGGGGGGCGGUAUUUUGAGGAGGAUUAAUGGCAGUGUGUCUUAACCGUAGUAAAAUUUUAAACAUUUGUCAUAGUUUUUUAUUACACCAAGUAGACUACUUCAUGGUUUAUCUGAGAAGCCCAAAAUAUGAAUAAAGAGCAAAAGAAAAGAUGAAUAAUAGGAAGUAGGGAGGUAGAUCUCAAAUGGGAAGGGAAUUAGAUGAUGGGAGAAGAGGGGAAAGGGAUGAAAAAAGGAAUUAAAAUGAGUUAUGUACUUGUACCAAUCCCCGCAAGGAAUAUAAACAUUAGCUACUGCUGACAAGCACUACUGAAAAAACCCACAAAACUAAAGAAAAAGGAGAAUGGGUAAUCACCAUAAAAAUUCCUUCAUGCAAGCACAAGGACCGGAGUUCAAUCCCUGGUACCAAAAAAAAAAAAAAAAAAUUCCUUCAUGCAGUGCCUUUGUAGUCAAGCCCUCCCUCUAACCUUACCCCUGGGAUCAGUGAUCUAUGUAUUGUCUCUAGUUUUACCUUUCCAGAAUUUCAUAUAAACUGAGUCAAAUAGCAUUUAGCCUUUUUAUUCUGGCUUCUUUAGCAUAAUGCAUUUGAGAUUCAUCCAUGUUGUGUCAGUAGUUUGCUCCUUUUAUUUGUUGAGUAGCAUUUCAUUGUAUGGGAUGUGUGAACCACAGUCUAUUCACUCCCCAACUGAAGGACAUUUGGGUAAUUUUCAGCUUUUGGUAACUAUGAAUAAAAUUCUUGUAAACAUCUGCAUACAGGAUUUUGUGUAAACAGGUUUGCUGCUUCUUUUGGGUAAAUAUAUAGGAGUGGGGUUGGAUCUUGUAAAAAUUGAACUUUCUAAACACAGGAAUGUCUAAGUGUUUUUCGAAGAAGCUGUAUUAUUUUCCACUUAGACAAAGUUUGAGAAUUUCAGUUAUCCUUAUCAUCACUUGGUAUUAACUUUAUUAAAAUUUAGCCACUGUAGUGGUUAAUGGUUUAAUUUGCACUUAUCAGAUAUGCAAAAUUUUCUCUCCAUCCUACAACAUGUUAAAAAAAAUCUUAAAAAUUGUUCUUAGCUGCACUCACUUUUGUUGGUGAGAUGAUUUAACUGCAGCAUCUGGGGCUUCCUGGGGACUCCUUGUGUGAGACCAAAGCAACUCCAUUUUGCUAAAAUGCACCACUCCCCUGGUCUCUCACAAAUUAAUGGUUAAAAUGUGCAUGCUCUGGGACAAAAGACACAGUCUGUACUGAAGCAAAGUUCCUAAGUUAAUUACUCAACCAUCUGUUUGCCUAGGAAAAGAAUGUUCUGGGCCCCCUAUCCAUAGAACAAUCUGUAGAUGUGCUGACUGUCAGUACGAAAUGGUUGUGACUAAUAGUCAGUGUGUCUGCUGACCAUCAGUACGUGACAGUCGACCACCAACCUUUGCCCCUCAUUUCCCUUGUAAAACCUACAUGUAACCGCCCCUCAACCCCCUAUGAACCUAGCCAAUCAGAAAUGUACACUUCAUGCUUGCUAAAUGCUAACCAAUCAUGUAACCGCUAAGUGAAAAAUCUCCAAACCUUGCUGUAAUCUCUAUAAAAACCCCUGGUGUUUUAGAGUUGGGGCUCUCAAUCCUGAUCCGCUGCGCCGGUGACGGUUGUGAGUCCCUGCUCAAGCUUGAAUAAACAACCCUCGUGCGUUUACAUCGGAA
rnacentral:lncRNA from 1 species